GGAGCCUACGGGAGGCAGCAGUGGCGACUUGUCCCGCAAUUUGCCGCAGCCCUGACGGAGCCAGUGCCGCGUGAGUGUAAGAAGACUAUUGAGUUGUAUACCUCUUUAUCAGGGAAGAAACAAAAUGACGGUACCUCAGGAUUCAGCAUCGCCUAGCUCCGUUCCAGCACACCCCGGUAUGACGAAGGAUACAAGCGUUAUCCGGAAUGAUUGGGCGUAAAGCGUCCGCAGGUGGCAUUCCAAUUUUGCGUUUAAAGCCGGGGCGCAACCUGGGACAGCCCGUGAAACCUGAUCACUUAGAGUCUGGUAGGGGCAGAGGGAAUUCCCGGUGUAGCGGGGAAAUGCGUAGAGUUCGGGAAGACCUCCGGUGGGGAAAGCGUUCACCUGGCCCCAAACUGCCCUUCCGGGACGAAAGCUAGGGGAGCGAAUGGGAUUAGAUACCCCAGUAGUCCUAGCCGUAAACGAUGGAUACUAGGUGUAGCUUGUAUCGACCCGAUCCGUGCCGUAGCUAACGCGUUAAGUACCCCGCCUGGGAGACGGCACCGGGCUUA
rnacentral:rRNA from 1 species